UCCGCCCUCCGCCGCCUCUCCCUUCUCCUCCCGUCGCGGCGCAGUGCGCCGUGCAGCGCUGGACCGACCUCCCUUCUCCUCACCCUCCCGUGCUACCUCUCUCAAUCCCCUUCUCUGCUGCUCCUCCCCAAUCCCCUGCAUCUACUCCCGGUGAGCCCCACCUCCCCUUGUCGCCAUGGCUGGCCGGUAGCCGCGCCGGCCUUGGGAGCGAGCGGCGACGGGUGGCUGAGGUCCCCAUCACCGUCGCCAUCUUCCCCGAGUUCCAGGAUCCAAAUCGAGUUCCCCGAGGUCCCCAUCACCCUACAACCCAGUGGUUUGCCGGUCGGCCAGCGGCCAUCUCUCUCUCCAUUCUUCCUCUCACAGAUUGGUCAGAGAUUGAUUUGUAUGCAGGUUUGCCGGCCGCCCAGGCAGCCAGGGAUCAAUCAAAUCUGCAGAAAAAAAAACGUGAAAUGUGAUCUACUAUGUGCUUUGCAAGACCGGCUUUUAGUUAAGCAGUGAUGCUUAUUUAUUAGGCACGGAAGAAUGGUUAUGGUUUGACCACAUGGAUUUGAGGUCAUGCAUUGCAGCCACAAUCUGGCCAUUCUCUUGUUUCAAAAGAAUGAAGGUGUGGAUGUUUGUCUAUUCGCCAAGUAUGUACAAGAGUAUGGUUCUGCUAGCCCAUCACCAAACCGAAGGCAUGUUUAUCUUGCAUAUAUUGAUUCUGUCAAGUACUUGAGGCCUGAAAUCAAAUCUACAAGUGGGGAAGCUCUCCGUACCUUCGUGUAUUUGGACUACUGCAAGAAACAAGGGUUUGUAAGCUUCUCCAUAUGGGCUUGCCCAUCUACAAAGCGUGAUGACUAUGUUUUGUACUGUCAUCCCACGUCACAGAAAAUGCCAAAGCCUCACAAGCUUUGGAGCUGGUAUUUCAUUAUAUGGAAGGCACCGGUUUUAUUGAUGAGAUCUGAGUUCUUCUUUUGAGUGGAAUGUUUCUCUCACUCACCGGUUGACGGAUCUUCAUCGGAGUUGAAAAGCAGCUCGUUCAUGCUUAAAUUGCCUCUCUCCGCGUCUAGAUAGAUAAGGGGGCUUAUAUUUUGAUACAAAACUGAUAAACUGUGUGUGCUUCUCAUUACUCCAAAUUUGGUUGUCAGCUUGCUCUUUUGCUUAGUUUCUUUAGUAUGUAGUUUGUUCUAGCUCACCAUGGCAUACUCAGGAGCAUGAAAUAUGUAAAUUCCUGGUU